rnacentral:rRNA from 1 species
AUGGCUGCGCGGGUGGCCAAGUCCCUGCUCCUCGUCCUCUUCCUCUCGUCCUGCUCUGCCGCCGCCGUGGCCAUCCGGACGCACGGCCGUGGCUACGUGUCGGCGGUCGGCGACCCUGGCAUGCAGCGCGACGGCCUCCGCGUGGCCUGGGAGGCCUGGAACUUCUGCAACGAGGUCGGCGAGGAGGCCCUCGGCAUGGGCAGCCCGCGCGGCGCCGACUGCUUUGACAUCCAGGCCGCCGACGACGAGCAGGGCCAGCCCGUGUACAAGGUGGUGCACCGCGUGACCGACGCCGACAACGCGCUCCGCGCCGGCGACCCGUUCCCCGGCACAUCGGCGAACUCCACCGUCACCGACACCGACCGCUACGCGGCGGCCAAGGAGCUCUACCUCGGCGACCGGUGCCAGGUGCCCGACAGCCCGGUGCCGUGGCAGUUCUGGAUGGUGAUGCUCAAGAACGGCAACCUGGACACGACGGCGGCCAUCUGCCCCGACAAUGGCCGCCCGGCGCGCCCGUUCGCGCAGACCUCCCGGUUCCCCUGCCCCGGCGGCACGGGGUGCAUGAACCAGCCGCUGGUGUUCCACAACCGCACCGCGCUGGACGACGCCGGCCGGUGGCUCCGCGGCGGGCUGUUCGGCACGUACGAGCUGGACGCCACGGAUCUCGGGAGCAGCGACGUGUCCUACUACUCGGUGGUGUGGGAGAAGCAGAUCGGCCCGGCGGGCGGCGCCGGCUGGGCCUUCCACCACAAGCUGCGGACGUCGGCCAAGUACCCCUGGCUGAUGCUGUACCUCCGGUCCGACGCCACCAGGGGCUUCUCCGGCGGCUACCACUACGACACCAGAGGCAUGACAAAGAUAGUGCCGGAGUCGCCGGAUUUCAAGGUGAGGCUGACGCUGGAGGUGAAGCAGGGCGGGGGGCCGAACAGCCAGUUCUACCUGAUGGACAUGGGCAGCUGCUGGAAGAACGACGGCGCGGCGUGCGACGGCGACACGGCCACGGAUGUGACCCGGUACAGCGAGAUGAUCAUCAACCCGGAGACGCCGGCGUGGUGCCAGCCGGGGCGGAGGGACCAGUGCCCGCCGUGGCACACGUUCCGCAACGGCACGCGCGUGCACCGCGACGACGCCGCGCGGUUCCCCUACGCCGCCUACCACGUCUACUGCUCGCCGGGGAACGCGCGGCACGCCGAGCAGCCGACGACGUACUGCGACCCCUACAGCAACCCGCAGCCGCAGGAGAUCCUGCAGAUCGUGCCGCACCCGGUGUGGGGCGAGUUCGGGUACCCCACGGCAAGGGGGCAGGGCUGGAUCGGCGACCCCAGGGCGUGGGAGCUCGACGUCGGGGCCUUGUCGCACGCGCUGUAUUUCUACCAGGAUCCGGGCACGCCGCCGGCGAGGAGGCGGUGGUCGUCGCUUGACGUCGGCACCGAGAUAUACGUCAGCAAGAAGGCGGAGGCGGAGUGGACGCUGAGUGGGUUCGACAUUCUUGUUCCCAACAAGUGUAUCGCAUCGCAAGGGGGAACCGUCAGUAGUUGUUGGUAG